rnacentral:rRNA from 1 species
CGACUUAUAUUCUGUAGCAAGGUUAACCGAAUAGGGGAGCCGGAGGGAAACCGAGUCUUAAUUGGGCGUUAAGUUGCAGGGUAUAGACCCGAAACCCGGUGAUCUAGCCAUGGGCAGGUUGAAGGUUGGGUAACACUAACUGGAGGACCGAACCGACUAAUGUUGAAAAAUUAGCGGAUGACCUGUGGCUGGGGGUGAAAGGCCAAUCAAACCGGGAGAUAGCUGGUUCUCCCCGAAAGCUAUUUAGGUAGCGCCUCGUGAAUUCAUCUCCGGGGGUAGAGCACUGUUUCGGCUAGGGGGCCAUCCCGGCUUACCAACCCGAUGCAAACUGCGAAUACCGGAGAAUGUUAUCACGGGAGACACACGGCGGGUGCUAACGUCCGUCGUGAAGAGGGAAACAACCCAGACCGCCAGCUAAGGUCCCAAAGUCAUGGUUAAGUGGGAAACGAUGUGGGAAGGCCCAGACAGCCAGGAUGUUGGCUUAGAAGCAGCCAUCAUUUAAAGAAAGCGUAAUAGCUCACUGGUCGAGUCGGCCUGCGCGGAAGAUGUAACGGGGCUAAACCAUGCACCGAAGCUGCGGCAGCGACACUGUGUGUUGUUGGGUAGGGGAGCGUUCUGUAAGCCUGUGAAGGUGUGUCGUGAGGC